CCUACGGGAGGCAGCAGUGGGGAAUAUUGCACAAUGGGGGAAACCCUGAUGCAGCAACGCCGCGUGAAGGAAGACGGUUUUCGGAUUGUAAACUUCUAUCAAUCGGGUAGAAAGAAAUUACGGUACCUAACUAAGAAGCACCGGCUAACUACGUGCCAUCAGCCGAGGUCAUACGUAGGGGGGACGCGGUAUCCGGAAUUACUGGGAGUAACGGGAGAGUAGGGGGGAAUGUAAGCGCUAUGGGAAAGACUUAAGCCUAAAUUAAGUAGGGCAUAACGAACUAUCUAGCUAGAGUACAGGAGAGGAAAGCGGAAGUCGUAGGGUAGCGGUGAAAUGCGUAGAUAUUAGGAAGAACACCAGUGGCGAAGGCGGCUUUCUGGACCGAAACUGACGCUGAGGCACGAAAGCGUGGGGAGCGAACAGGAUUAGAUACCCUAGUAGUC
rnacentral:rRNA from 1 species